rnacentral:rRNA from 1 species
CCUACGGGUGGCAGCAGUGGGGAAUAUUGGGCAAUGGACGAAACUCUGACCCAGCAACGCCGCGUGAAUGAUGAAGGUCUUCGGGUUGUAAAGUUCUUUUCUAAGGGACGAAGAAAGUGACGGUACCUUAGGAAUAAGCCUCGGCUAACUACGUGCCAGCAGCCGCGGUAAGACGUAGGAGGCAAGCGUUAUCCGGAAUGACUGGGCGUAAAGGGUGCGUAGGUGGUUUGACAAGUUGGUAGCGUAACUCCGGGGCUCAACCUCGGGCCUACUACCAAAACUGUCGGACUUGAGUGCAGGAGGGGCAACUGGAAUUCCGAGUGUAGCGGUGGAAUGCGUAGAUAUUAGGAGGAACACCAGGGGCGAAGGCGGUUUGCUGGACAGUAACUGACGCUGAGGCACGAAAGCGUGGGGAGCAAACAGGAUUAGAUACCCGUGUAGUC